ACAUUUUAUUCUAUUUGUUUAUCUUAUCACUACCAACAAGACCUAAAAGGGAUGUAUAACCUAUUGUUCUUUAUUUGCAAAAAGACACAAGGAAUCUAAGACGGUCAGUGUAACAUUAUUUUCUAAUCAGAAAAACUUUUUAAUUUGCAGAAGGGUACUAAAAAAUCCCAAAGAAUCCCUAUGAUAACACACGCCUCAGUAAGUCAUUGCAUCAUUGGCAUGUUUUACUUGCAUUGACAUUUGCUGCCAUUUUGGUCAGUGGAUUAAACCGGUUUCCAGAUAAAAAUCACGUAGAAUCUCGCCCAGUCGAAAUCUCGCGAGCGCGCACGAAAACGAGGCAUCAUCUGAGUGACAGCAUCAGCUUCCGAAAUGGCUUCUUCAGUCGGUUCUUCGUCUUCUCCGGACCCUGGUGGUGGAGGUAACCAGCCCUCUUGCAGUCCUGAUCCCCCCUGAAAGGAGUAGAUGGACUAGGAAAAUGCACACAUGCAAGCGGCCUCCUCUUUGCAGUCGAGGACUUCACGCGAAGAGGAUUAAAAAGCCACCCCAGCCCCCUGGCAUGUACAGCAAGACUGUCGAUUUGGAACGUGCCGCGAAACGACAAGGUUGAUCCACAGCCUCUACAGAACAUAAAAAUACAUAAGAUCCAGUAUGGAAAAACUCCGCGUACAACAACAACAUCACAGUAUGAUCCACGCGCAGAGCACCACAGGCAGCUUGAUCCCGAACAGUUCACCAUUCUUCAACACACACUCCAAGAUUCCAUGCCAAACUCCAUGUUCCAUCUGUUUCAUGACAGCAUCCAAAUUGAAGAGCCAACUUAUGACCCUCCGCAGUCUUUCAGCGACACUUAUGACAUUUCAUCAGUAGACUUCCAGGCAUUGAUUGAACACAGAAUGACAACUAUGACCAUGACAGAAGAUGAACGAAACACAAUCGAACAACAGACCAGAGGCCAGUCAGACAACAGCACUUGGCUGGA